UAGCGGAACAAGGUCCCCGCUGGCAAUGAAAAUUCCAUUUAACUCAAUUUCACCAGUCCUAUACUAGAUAUAAGCCGGACUAGUACCAAAUGUGUCCCCAAGUAAUGCAAAGGUAAACAAUUGACACCUUUUCCUCCCCAAGUAAUGCAAAGAAGCGACAGUUGUGCAUAAAUAAAAACCACAACGAAAAAACCAAACGAACAUUUGAAUGAGAUCUCUACGAACAAGAACCACUUUGAAUAGUUUUUUUUAGAUUACCAAUAAAAACACAAUGCACCGUUAUUCUUGAGGAAUGCAAGUGCGUUUUGUUUGGAAAAAGCAUUCUUAUUCUGAUCGUUGUGAAGUGAAGUAUCAUUUUUCUGUGCAAAUAAGUUAUAAAGUGUUGAAAAUAACAAAUAAAAAGGUCAAAUCAAAAUUUUAGCUGAUGCUUUAGCUGAGUUGAAGGUGAUGGUGCUACGAAUUCAAAGUGAUGAGAUACCAUUAUCGAAUAGGUUCCCCAUCACUUAUGAAAAAUAUUGAGAAUCAAUACAUAUAUGUAAAGAUUAUAGCAUCAAUUAUAAAAGGAGAGGAAACAUCGAAAUGUUUAAAAAUGUUAUCGGUUCAAAUAUAACUACGAGUAUAAUAUUGAGGAAAAAAGUUUGAAGUCCCUAAGUAAUAUAUACAACGUUAUUUUAGAUAAGAUUCAAUACCAGUUACAGAAUAUUCGGACACCCCUGAAACACAACUACGAAAAGCAAUACAAGUGCUUUUAUAAAUAUUAAAUUAAAUUUAUUUGAGUUUUGCCUUGUUAAGGCGAAGAUCAUAUGUUUUAUGAUUUAUUGUUUGUUUUCUCUUUCGAGACGAGCUUAAUGAUCUGAAAUUUGCAGUGAAAAGGAAAGCCAGAUAGACACUAUCACACACACACCACUAUGCGACGCGUUUCGCCGUUGGUUAAGCGGCUCAUCAGGCAUAUUUGGUGUGGAUGAUGGCUUACAAGGGCCGUUCUCUGGAAAGUAGUAUAUAUUUCGAACUUAUUGCAAAUUAGCAUAUGCGAAUUAUACACUAGAAACUCUCCAGGUUGGACUCAAGUUCUAUUGGCAGAUCUUUUUCACAGCAAAGUUUUGUUUUAAAUUUAUUUUUGUUCAAGUUUUAUAGA